rnacentral:rRNA from 1 species
GGAGGUGGCAGGCGUUACUCGGAUUGAUUGGGUGUAAAGGGCAUGUAGGUGGUGAGUUAAGUCGAAUGUGAAAUCCCUUGGCUUAACCAAGGAACUGCAUUCGAAACUGACUUGCUUGAGCGACGGAGAGGAAAGCGGAAUUCCCGGUGUAACAGUGAAAUGUGUAGAUAUCGGGAGGAACACCAGUGGCGAAGGCGGCUUUCUGGCUGUCCGCUGACACUGAAAUGCGAGAGCUAGGGGAGCAAACAGGAUUAGAUACCCUGGUAGUCCUAGCUGUAAACGAUGAUCAUUAGGCGUGGGGAGUUUUCCCCGUGCCGGAGCCAACGCGUUAAAUGAUCCGCCUGGGGACUACGGCCGCAAGGUUG